GCCUUCGUGGUAUAGUGGUCAGCACGCUCGACGCAAAAUCGAGAAGUUUCUGGUUUGAGUCCCGGUGAAGGCA
rnacentral:tRNA from 1 species